rnacentral:rRNA from 1 species
AGCGAACGCUGGCGGCAGGCCUAACACAUGCAAGUCGAACGAACCUUUCGGGGUUAGUGGCGGACGGGUGAGUAACACGUGGGAACGUGCCUUUAGGUUCGGAAUAACUCAGGGAAACUUGUGCUAAUACCGAAUGUGCCCUUCGGGGGAAAGAUUAAUCGCCUUUAGAGCGGCCCGCGUGAUUAGCUAGUUGGUUGAGGUAAUGGCUCACCAAGGCGACGAUCAGUAGCUGGUCUGAGAGGAUGAUCAGCCACAUUGGGACUGAGACACGGCCCAAACUCCUACGGGAGGCAGCAGUGGGGAAUCUUGCGCAAUGGGCGAAAGCCUGACGCAGCCAUGCCGCGUGAAUGAUGAAGGUCUUAGGAUUGUAAAAUUCUUUCACCGGGGACGAUAAUGACGGUACCCGGAGAAGAAGCCCCGGCUAACUUCGUG